rnacentral:tRNA from 1 species
GCCGGAGUGGUGGAACGGCAGACACGCACGACUCAAAAUCGUGUGCCCGCAAGGCGUGUGGGUUCAAAUCCCACCUCCGGCACCA